CAAUUUUAUUUUACAGAAUGUUUCUUUCAGUUCUGACCCCUUCUACCUGCAGGUUCUUUAAACAUUGGCUGACAGUAAAUGCGAGUAGGAAUAUUUCGGAAAUAGCUCGACACCCAUGGUCUGGAAAAGAAUAAGACAAAACAUAAAAUUCAUCUCUAGUGGUUUCACCAUUCCGCUUCUGCAGCCUCCUCCAGUCCUAUCUGCUAAUGCCUGCUCUUCCAACUCGGUUGUUAUCUGCUGAUUCUGAUCAUUUGAGACAACGAGAAAACCCGUUAUUCCACAAGAAUCAUCUUUUGAGCAAAUCAAUUAUCGUUGCUUGUGUAAUAUUCAAGAAUAUUUACAUGGAUAUCCACAUUCUGUAGUAUAAAGAAGAUUUAUACAGAAUAGAAUAUCUGCAGUCCUUUGAAAACAGAAGAAGAGUUGUCUACUUGAAGCUAACUUACCUCACACACCAGACUUCAGAAACACAGGCAGAAUUGAGAACCACUCUUCCUAAACCUUAAAUUCAUUAGGUCAAAAAUAAUGGGCUAGAUUUUAAUGUCAAAAUAUCAGUGAGGCUAAUGGUGCUUUUUAUUAUUUAAGUAUAAAUGGUACAGCAAGUUCAGGUGAAGAGUGGAUGUGUGUUUAAGUGUCAAUCUCCAAAAGUUGCUAUCCAAGUUAUGCCACUUCACAAUCAGCUUCACAAAAAUGGCAUCUUGCUGACUGUUUCACCAUUUACCAGCAUUGAAUAUGAUAAGGUUGCUGUAUUUGCAUGAUAAAUACAAAAUAAAUGCAUCACAAACAGCUAAGUGUUGUCAUUGCAUGAAUACCCUUUCAAUGAUUUAAUAUUUGUACAUUAUUGUCAAUAUCAACCUCUCUGAUACUGAAAAUUAGGAAGUGUGAAGUCUCAAUCUUCUAGGUAUUAAUUUUUGCUAGAGAUUUUUAAAAUGUCAAGUUUAAUUUUUUAAAAAUGUUUUAUGUUUCCUGUCUUUUUUCUCUCCAUCCAAUGUUUUUUCCCUAAGUUUAUUUGGUUUUUUUUGUACCUGAUUUGACAUUGAAUUCACCCAUUCUAAAUUAUACUUGCUUCUGAGUCCCUGCGCUGCUAAUUUCACAGUCCUUCAUCUGAUUGGUUGAGGAGUCACACAGUUCGUUGCUCUGUUGACUCAGGUCCCAGCUGUCCAAUUUCAGUUGCUGUGCCAUUAUCUUCUGGCACUUCCAGCAACAUGUGAUGCAAAAAAUAUUCAAACCUAAAUGUGCACGAACAAGUCUAACUAAUGGCAGAUGCCAUUAGAUGUCCUACCACAGCAGAAUCUGGACCAUUGAAGAUAAAACAAAGUGUCAUUUAAUUAGCCCUGCUACACGAGUUAUCUUGCUUUGAAUAAAACUGACUGAUAAAUAGAAAAAUGAUCCUGGUGGCUCAAAGAGAUUUAAUGUUGUAUCAAUUUGAUAUCUAAAUGUAUUUUGCCUCAAUAAAGACUUUGUUAUAUUUUAAUCAA